rfam:Triticum aestivum genome assembly, contig: Triticum_aestivum_CS42_TGACv1_scaffold_602672_7DL
UUUAUACUCACUCCAUCCGAAAAUACUUGUCAUCAAAAUGGAUAAAAGGAGAUGUAUCUAGACAUAUUUUAGUUCUAGAUACAUCCCUUUUAAUUCAUUUUGAUGACAAGUAUUUUCGGCCGGAGGGUGUACAUG